UUAUGGCCAUAUCGCUUUGAUACACCGGUUCCCAGAUGCUCACCAAAAUUAAGCUACGUCGAGCCUGGUCAGUACCGAAAUGGAUGACCGCUUGGGAAUAUCAGGUGAUGUAA